AACAAACGCUGGCGGCGUGCCUAACACAUGCAAGUCGUACGAGAAAGUUGGCUUCGGCCAAUGAGUAAAGUGGCGCACGGGUGAGUAACGCGUGGAUAAUCUGCCCUUCAGCGGGGAAUAACCCAUCGAAAGGUGGGCUAAUACCCCAUAACACUGUUUUACAACUGUCAAACAGUCAAAGAGAGCCUCUGCUUGCAAGCUUUUACUGAAGGUUGAGUCCGCGUACCAUUAGCUAGUUAGUAGGGUAAUGGCCUACCAAGGCGACGAUGGUUAGCUGGUCUGAGAGGAUGAUCAGCCACACUGGAACUGAGACACGGUCCGGACUCCUACGGGAGGCAGCAGUGAGGAAUCUUGCGCAAUGGGGGAAACCCUGACGCAGCAACGCCGCGUGAGUGAGGAAGGUCUUCGGGUCGUAAAGCUCUGUCAGGCGGGAAGAAAUGCAUGGAGGUGAACAGCCGCCAUGCUUGACGGUACCGCCAGAGGAAGCACCGGCUAACUCCGUGCCAGCAGCCGCGGUAAAAC
rnacentral:rRNA from 1 species